AUAAGAUACAAUUUGCUAAACACAUGAAACUCAAGAAGAAUGAAGACUGAAGUGUGGACACUAUGCCCCUCCUUAGAAUUGGGAACAAAACACCCAUGGAAGGAGUUACAGAGACAAAGUUUGGAGCUGAGAUGAAAGGAUGGACCAUGUAGAGACUGCCAUAUCCAGGGAUCCACCCCAUAAUCAGCUUCCAAACGCUGACAUCAUUGCAUACACUAGCAAGAUUUUAUCGAAAGGACCCAGAUGUAGCUAUCUCUUGUGAGAUAUGCUGGGGCCUAGCAAACACAGAAGUGGAUGCUCACAGUCAGCUAUUGGAUUGAUCACAGGGCUCCCAAUGGAGGAGCUAGAGAAAGUACCCAAGGAGCUAAAGGGAUCUGCAACCCUAUAGGUGGAACAACAUUAUGAACUAACCAAUACCCCGGAGCUCUUGACUCUAGCUGCAGAUGUAUCAAAAGAUGGCCUAGUCGGCCAUCACUGGAAAGAGAGGCCCAUUGGACACGCAAACUGUUUAUGCCCCAGUACAGGGGAACGCCAGGGCCAAAAAAAAAUGGGAAUGAGUGGGUAGGGAAGUGGGGGGGAGGGUAUGGGGGACUUUUGGGAUAGCAUUGGAAAUGUAAUUGAGGAAAAUAUGUAAAAAAAAAAAAAGCUAAAUUUCCAAUGCCUUCUGUUUUCUUCGUUUAGCAAGGUAUAUUCUUUAUUUAAAACUAUUAGCUGGUUCUUAUGUUUUCUUGUGUCCCUGACCUCUCUGGUUCCUACAGUUUUCCCCCUUCUCUCUCUCUCUGCCAAGGAUCCCGGAGCUCAGCCUAAAACCAAGUUUUUUUUUAUAAACUUCCCUUCCCGUUGGGAAACAGCGGUUAUGCUGUGCUUUUAAAAAGUAGUGAGUAUGCCAGCCAAUCUUUCUGAGCUCUGGAGUUUGUUUUUGAAGGGUUUUUUGUUUUGUUUUGUGUUUUUUUUUUUUAAAUUCUUCAUUGGUUAACCUGCAUCAAGCACAGUUUUAUUAGCAUUUGAGUGAACAACAACAUGACAGGCAAGCUAUGAAUCCUGACAGCUCUUUGGAGUGGGAACAUAGAAGAAAGAAAGCAAUGUGUUUGUAAGUAUCCACAUGCAUGAAGAAGGGAGGGUAGCUUCAGAGAAAGUGGGAAGUCCUAGGGCGUCAGGGAAAAGAUGCCCAGGCUUUGGCCAGUAUCUGAAAGAAAAAGAGAGGGAAAAGCAGCAGGCAUGGUGUCAGCGGCUUGCACGGGCCAUCUGAUGGACUGAGCUCUGUAAGAAGGUACUUCAGGGCAGUGCUUCUGGGGAGGGUAAAUCUGUCGUCUCUUUAGGGAGUAAUUAUUCCUCCCACUCCUUAGCAUGGGUCUACGUGAACCAGCUUUCCUGAGAGGUGAACCUUAUUAACUUAAAAAAACAUUUAUUUUGCUUUCUGUGUGUGUGUGUGUGUGUGUGUGUGUGUGUGUGUGUGUGUGUGUGCUGUCUGCGUUGUCUGCAUGUAUGUCUGUGUACCACAUGCUCACCUGGUACCUGAGCAGGUCAGAAGAGUGCCUUGGACCUCUGGAUCUGGUGUUGUAGGUGGCUGUGAGCUACCAUGUAGGUGCUGAGACUUGAACCCAGAUGUUCUAGAAGAAGCAAUUGAUGCUUUUAACCUCUGGGCCUCUGGUUUUAACUCUUUAAUUAAGGAGGAGACAAUAGUAUGUAAAACUUUAAUCUUGAAGCAGAUGAGAAUGUCAAGUCUUCUCUGGAAGACCAGAGGUCCAGUCCCAUAUUCUGAUAAAGGGAAAACAAUAACUUUGUCUUAAUAGCCUUAACCGAGCUCUGAUAUCCAUCCUCAGUGGCCUCCAGAACUACUCUAACAGAACUACUCACUCAAUCAACAGUUAAGACCCUAGAAUCUAUUAAAUGAUGGCUGAUAUUGGGAAUGAAUAUAAAACCCAAUUUCAAAUUUUCAGUUUCAAAUUUGUUUACUAGAAAGGAUUCCUAUCAGGACUGAAGUUUCCAUCACAUCCUUAUGUAGCCUCUAGGCUGGAGGGCUCAUUUAGAGAAAUACAAACUGACUUUCUGGGCCUGAACACUAAGGUGCUGAUUCUGAACGAGAAAGAGUUGCUUACUUUAGAGUUCUUGCCUUGCAUCUGCCCAACCAGUUCUAACCUGCCUUCAUCAUUUUUACUUUUUUAAAAAAAUAUGGUUUGAAUACCAAAUAACAACCUAUUAGAAUUUUGUGUAAAAUUCUGACCUUUAAUGAAGCCGUGAUGAUGGCUAAAAUUGAGUUAUUAAAACCUUGGGCCAAUGGUCACAUUGCUUACUGUGACCUGAGUUCUGUACCCAGCACCCACAAGGAGAGAACCUGUUUCUGCAAGUUGGCCUCUGACCUCCCCACACAAGCACAGAGACACACACACACAAAUGAAUACAU
rnacentral:lncRNA from 1 species